UACGUAGGGACCAAGCGUUGUUCGGAUUUACUGGGCGUAAAGGGCGCGUAGGCGGCUUAACAAGUCACUUGUGAAAUCUCCGGGCUUAACUCGGAACGGCCAAGUGAAACUGUCAAGCUGGAGUGCAGAAGGGGCAAUCGGAAUUCUUGGUGUAGCGGUGAAAUGCGCAGAUAUCAGGAAGAACACCUAUGGCGAAGGCAGCUCUCUGGGACGGUACUGACGCUGAGACGCGAAAGCGUGGGGAGCGAACAGG
rnacentral:rRNA from 1 species